rnacentral:tRNA from 1 species
ACCUGGGUGGCUCAGUUGGUUAAGCGUCUGACUUUAGCUCAGGUCAUGGUAUCGUGGUUCAUGGGUUUGAGCCCCAUGUCAGGCU